CCCCUAGAUGUUCUGGGCCGCACGCGCGCUACACUGAUCAGUUCAACAAGUCUUAACCUUGGCCGAUAGGUCUGGGUAAUCUUUGAACGCUGUUCGUGACUGGGAUAGACCUUUGCAAUUAUGGGUCUUCAACGAGGAAUUCCUAGUAAACGCAAGUCAUCAGCUUGCAUUGAUUACGUCCCUGCCCUUUGUACACACCGCCCGUCGCACCUACCGAUUGAAUGGUCCGGUGAAAUCUCGGGACGGCGGCUUGGUCGCUUGCGUCCGACUGCUGAAACUUGAUUAAACCAUAUCAUUUAGAGGAAGGUGAAGUCGUNACA
rnacentral:rRNA from 1 species